rnacentral:rRNA from 1 species
GACGAACGCUGGCGGCGUGCUUAACACAUGCAAGUCGAGCGAUGAAGCUCCUUCGGGAGUGGAUUAGCGGCGGACGGGUGAGUAACACGUGGGUAACCUGCCUCAUAGAGGGGAAUAGCCUUUCGAAAGGAAGAUUAAUACCGCAUAAGAUUGUAGUACCGCAUGGUACAGCAAUUAAAGGAGUAAUCCGCUAUGAGAUGGACCCGCGUCGCAUUAGCUAGUUGGUGAGGUAACGGCUCACCAAGGCGACGAUGCGUAGCCGACCUGAGAGGGUGAUCGGCCACAUUGGGACUGAGACACGGCCCAGACUCCUACGGGAGGCAGCAGUGGGGAAUAUUGCACAAUGGGGGAAACCCUGAUGCAGCAACGCCGCGUGAGUGAUGACGGUCUUCGGAUUGUAAAGCUCUGUCUUUAGAGACGAUAAUGACGGUACCUAAGGAGGAAGCCACGGCUAACUACGUGCCAGCCGCCGCAGUAAGAC